GAUGAACGCUAGCGGCAGGCCUAACACAUGCGAGUCGAGGGAGAGGUUACCUUCGGGUAACCAAAACCGGCGCACGGGUGCGUAACGCGUAUACAAUCUGCCUUUCACAUAGGGAUAGCCCGAAGAAAUUUGGAUUAAUACCUAAUGGUAUAUAAGAGCGGCAUCGUUUUUAUAUUAAAGCUACGGUGGUGAAAGAUGAGUAUGCGUUCUAUUAGCUAGUUGGAGAGGUAACGGCUCCCCAAGGCGACGAUAGAUAGGGGUUCUGAGAGGGAUGUCCCCCACACUGGUACUGAGAUACGGACCAGACUCCUACGGGAGGCAGCAGUGAGGAAUAUUGGACAAUGGUCGGAAGACUGAUCCAGCCAUGCCGCGUGCAGGAUGAAGGUCCUAUGGAUUGUAAACUGCUUUUGUAAGGGAAGAAUAAGGAGUACGUGUACUUUGAUGACGGUACCUUACGAAUAAGCAUCGGCUAACUCCGUG
rnacentral:rRNA from 1 species